UACGGAGGGAGCUAGCGUUGUUCGGAAUUACUGGGCGUAAAGCGCACGUAGGCGGCGAUCUAAGUCAGAGGUGAAAGCCUGGAGCUCAACUCCAGAACUGCCUUUGAGACUGGAUUGCUAGAAUCCGGGAGAGGUGAGUGGAAUUCCGAGUGUAGAGGUGAAAUUCGUAGAUAUUCGGAAGAACACCAGUGGCGAAGGCGGCUCACUGGACCGGCAUUGACGCUGAGGUGCGAAAGCGUGGGGAGCAAACAGG
rnacentral:rRNA from 1 species